ensembl:lncRNA
AAAGGUAGUGGUAGAGGUGGUGGUAGAGGAAGGGAUAGUGCUAGAAGUAGUGGUAGAGGUACAGUAGUGGUAGAGGUAGUGACAAUGAUAGAGGUAGUGACAAUGAUAGAGGUAGUGACAAUGAUAGAGGUAGUGACAAUGAUAGAGGUAGUGACAAUGAUAGAGGUAGUGACAAUGAUAGAGGUAGUGGUAAUGAUAGAGAUAGUGGUAAUGAUAGAGAUAGUGGUAGAGGUACAGUAGCGGUAGUGGUAGCGGUAGAGAUAGUGGUAGAGGUAGAAAUAGAAGUAGUGGUAGAGGUAGACAUAGUGGUAGAGGUACAGGUAGAAAUAGAAGUAGAGGUAGACAUAGACGUAGAGGUAGAGGUAGUGGUACUGACAAUGAUAGAGGUAGUGGUAAUGAUAGAGGUAGAAGUAGUGGAAGAGGUAGUGAUAGAUGUAGUGAUAGAGAUAGUGGUAGAAAUAGUGGUAGAGGUAGAGG